ensembl:lncRNA
UGCGUUCCCAGGGGAAGAACCAGAGAGACGAGUUCACACGAGGCCGAUGGAGAAACUCCACCCGAGCCCCCACAAUAUUGACCCUCCUCUUAUCGGGCGGCCGGGGGCCCGACCUUGAGCUAACAGGCGAACAAAGGCGCUCGCGCCAAAGCAAACGCUCUCGUGACGAGUCAGCGCUUCGCCGUCGGAGGGAAGCAAACAGACACACAAAAGAUCUCCUUUUUCUCCUCGGCUCACUUUUCCACAGAGACCUUUUCCACCAUCACACCUGUGGUCCAGGUGAGGACGGCUGAGUCCGUCCAGGUGUGGACGCGCUUUGCUUUUUUUUUUCCCCAAGGAGAUUGCAGAGCAAAUCUGGUUGAGGAGAACAAAGGGAGCCUUCAAAGUGAAUCAAACAUUUGUUUAAUGUCUCCGAUUCUCUCGCCGUGUGCCAGAAGCUCACACUCAGCGGGGAAAAGGGCUUUUCUUUCACUCUGUUAAAAGAUUGAAAAUCAAACUGACGGGUUGAGGUUAUUUAAAGGAAAGGAAACUUCAUUUUAGAAGGAGUGUUAAUAAAACAUGUGAGCCGUGGGAUCGUCUCGGUGUAGGCACCUCUGAGUGUGUUCAAAGUUGCAUGAGAAAGAAAAAAUCCCGCUCUGCCUUCAGAACGUUGACGCCUUCGUCAUCAGGUGCUUCAACUCUUCUUCAACCGAGGCUUCAGCUGCCGACGCGCCGAUGCUGCAACAACGUCGCCUCAAGAGGUCAGAGAGCCGUUCGCUUUCUACGGGUCAAUUUGCACAUUAAACUUCACCAAAGUUAAAAAGCUAACGCAAUGCAGCAGAGAAAUGAUGCUGCCGUCUUUCAGUGGUUACAGAUAAAUAGUUUUUUGGAAGAUGGAAGAUGUUAGCGGGAAAGCAAAAGAAGCUCGAUCAUCUGCCUUCUCACCACGUGGUUAAAGCUCACUGGUUACACGAAGCUGCUGAAGGAGCCGCUUUGCUCAACGGAGGGAAGCGUACCAACAACCAGCUGACCAGGUCAAGAUCAACACAAGCACCCGAAGCCGUGAAAUAACCACCGAGCCGUGAAGGUCUGUUGGGUCGGUUCCAUCUCGACUCGACCGGCUUCCCAGAACUCAGAAACACAAUAAAACACACAAAACAACCACACGGCGCGUUACCUUCAGUCACGCUGCAACACGUCGACCUUCCCUUCUGGGGCCGAGCGAGGGCGGAGCAGAAAGACAAGGGGUGGAGGAGAGAGGUGGAGAGGUGGAUGAGUAGAGAGGUGGAGGAGUAGAGAGGUGGAGAGGUGGAGAGGUGGAUGAGUAGAGAGGUGGAGGAGUAGAGAGGUGGAGGAGUAGAGAGGUGGAGCGGUGGAGAGGUGGAGGAGUAGAGAGGUGAAAGAGUAGAGAGGUGGAGCGGUGGAGGAGUAGAGAGGUGGAGCAGUGGAGGAGUAGAGAGGUGGAGAGGUGGAGGAGUAGAGAGGUGGAGGAGUAGAGAGGUGGAGGAGUAGAGAGGUGGAGCGGUGGAGAGGUGGAGGAGUAGAGAGGUGGAGCGGUGGAGAGGUGGAGGAGUAGAGAGGUGGAGCGGUGGAGAGGUGGAGGAGUAGAGAAGUGGAGGAGUAGAGAGGUGGAGCGGUGGAGAGGUGGAGGAGUAGAGAGGUGGAGGAGUAGAGAGGUGGAGAGGUGGAGGAGUAGAGAGGUGGAGCGGUGGAGAGGUGGAGAGGUGGAGGAGUAGAGAAGUGGAGGAGUAGAGAGGUGGAGCGGUGGAGAGGUGGAGGAGUAGAGAGGUGGAGCAGUGGAGAGGUGAAGGAGUAGAGAGGUGGAGCAGUGGAGGAGUAGAGAGGUGGAGCGGUGGAGAGGUGGAGGAGUAGAGAGGUGGAGGAGUAGAGAGGUGGAGUGGUGGAGAGGUGGAGCGGUGGAGGAGUAGAGAGGUGGAGCGGUGGAGAGGUGGAGGAGUAGAGAGGUUGGAGGAGUAGAGAGGUUGGAGGAGUAGAGAGGUGGAGGAGUAGAGAGGUUGGAGGAGUAGAGAGGUUGGAGGAGUAGAGAGGUGGAGAGGUGGAGGAGUUGAGAGGUGGAGGAUAAAAACAUUCGUGGCCACAGAGAGAAAGAAAAGGAGGAAAUAUGCAGAAAAAAGGCGCCAUUGACACAGAAACUCUAUUCUGAGGAUUAUGGGUAAUUAUUAACUGCUCCUUUAUGAUUCCUGCCGAUUGCGUAGAGGAACACAGAUUACACCCGAUGCACAAAAAAUAACUGAGAUUACACUGUGAUCCACCACGCACACACACACAGACUCACACACACACACAGACUCACACACACACACACACACACAGGUGUUGUCAGCUACCACGGCUCUAAACGCUCUGUAGCCGUUAGCGUAGCGAACCAAGUGAAGUAAAGACGCCACAGAGAGUUUAAACCUCCAGAAGAUGAACUUUCACCGUGAAAUAGCGAGAGGAGCCUUUCUGACAAUCAAGGACAGCGUCCUAGAGGUGCCCUCUGGUGUCCUGCAGGGGGCGACGUCCUCUAGGCGACAGGACGACGGGCGAGGGCGUCCGAGGGUGCUUCAAAAAACACGUGGUGUUAAUGUUCUAAUCCCCCUCAGAGCGAUUACUGCUGUGUGAGGAGUAAAUAUGUGGGAGGCA